ACGCUGGCGGCAGGCUUAACACAUGCAAGUCGAACGGUAGCAGGAGAAAGCUUGCUUUCUUGCUGACGAGUGGCGGACGGGUGAGUAAUGCUUGGGAAUCUGGCUUAUGGAGGGGGAUAACUACGGGAAACUGUAGCUAAUACCGCGUAAUAUCGAAAGAUUAAAGUGUGGGACCUUCGGGCCACAUGCCAUAAGAUGAGCCCAAGUGGGAUUAGGUAGUUGGUGGGGUAAAGGCCUACCAAGCCGACGAUCUCUAGCUGGUCUGAGAGGAUGACCAGCCACACUGGAACUGAGACACGGUCCAGACUCCUACGGGAGGCAGCAGUGGGGAAUAUUGCGCAAUGGGGGGAACCCUGACGCAGCCAUGCCGCGUGAAUGAAGAAGGCCUUCGGGUUGUAAAGUUCUUUCGGUAUUGAGGAAGGGAUGUGUGCUAAUAGUACACGUCAUUGACGUUAAAUACAGAAGAAGCACCGGCUAACUCCGUGCCAGCAGCCGCGGUAAUACGGAGAGUGCGAGCGUUAAUCGGAAUAACUGGGCGUAAAGGGCACGCAGGCGGUUAUUUAAGUGAGGUGUGAAAGCCCCGGGCUUAACCUGGGAAUUGCAUUUCAGACUGGGUAACUAGAGUACUUUAGGGAGGGGUAGAAUUCCACGUGUAGCGGUGAAAUGCGUAGAGAUGUGGAGGAAUACCGAAGGCGAAGGCAGCCCCUUGGGAAUGUACUGACGCUCAUGUGCGAAAGCGUGGGGAGCAAACAGGAUUAGAUACCCUGGUAGUCCACGCUGUAAACGCUGUCGAUUUGGGGAUUGGGCUUUAAGCUUGGUGCCCGUAGCUAACGUGAUAAAUCGACCGCCUGGGGAGUACGGCCGCAAGGUUAAAACUCAAAUGAAUUGACGGGGGCCCGCACAAGCG
rnacentral:rRNA from 1 species